AUUGAACGCUGGCGGCAGGCCUAACACAUGCAAGUCGAACGAGUGGCGGACGGGUGAGUAAUGUCUGGGAAACUGCCUGAUGGAGGGGGAUAACUACUGGAAACGGUAGCUAAUACCGCAUACCCUCGGAUGUGCCCAGAUGGGAUUAGCUAGUUGGUGGGGUAAAGGCUCACCUAGGCGACGAUCCCUAGAUGGUCUGAGAGGAUGACAAGCCAGACGGUAACUGAGAGACGGGCCAGACUCCUACGGGAGGCAGCGGUGGGGAAUAGUGCACAAUGGGCGCAAGCCUGAUGCAGCCAUGCCGCGUGUAUGAAGCAGGCCUUCGGGUUGUAGAGUACUUUCAGCGGGGAGGCGUUACCCGCAGAAGAAGCACCGGCUAACUCCGUGCCAGCAGCCGCGGUAAUUC
rnacentral:rRNA from 1 species